rnacentral:rRNA from 1 species
GACGAACCGUGCGAACGUUGUUCGGAAUAACUGGGCUUAAAGGGCGCGUAGGCGGGUUCCUAAGUCUGGAGUGAAAGCCCGCGGCUCAACCGCGGAAGCGCUUCGGAUACUGGGGGCCUCGAGGGGGGUAGGGGCGCGCGGAACUUCCGGUGGAGCGGUGAAAUGCGUAGAUAUCGGAAGGAACACCGGUGGCGAAAGCGGCGCGCUGGACCCCCACUGACGCUGAUGCGCGAAAGCCAGGGGAGCAAACGGG